GUAGUCUCAAUCGAAUCUGUCUUCAAACCACUCAAAAACAAUUACUUUCGUGCCCUGACAGAAGAGGUUAAUUUUAUAAAUGUUACAAAUGUUCCAACUUUUGUUCAACACUGCCAGAAAUUUCUGAAGACAUUUCAAAAAUCAGGCAAAAGAAAACGUCAGCUGUCACUGAAGGUUCAGGUCCUUGAUUAUUUCACCUGCUGUGAGCUGUGAGAGUUAGCAACAGAACACAGACUUUGAAAAACAACUCUGCCCUUUAAUGAGGCCAAAGACAAGUGGAGGCUUCCUGAGCCCCGUGUGGGCACUUACAGGAGAAUAUCAAAACGUGAACAGCAUCUAUCUGGUGCGCGGACAGACUGCUAGUUAGUCUUAAAAGGUGCUUUAAAGGGCUGUCACAUCGAGAUCAUAGUCAAUCAAACUGGCAGUGCUAUAAAUGAGGGCAGAUACCCGUGCCAUUCUCC